GCAGCAUGGUCUUAGCUUGCUAAGGCUGAUGGCGACCGGCGCACGGGUGAGUAACACGUAUCCAACCUGCCGUCUACUCUUGGCCAGCCUUCUGAAAGGAAGAUUAAUCCAGGAUGGCAUCAUGAGUUCACAUGUCCGCAUGAUUAAAGGUAUUUUCCGGUAGACGAUGGGGAUGCGUUCCAUUAGAUAGUAGGCGGGGUAACGGCCCACCUAGUCAACGAUGGAUAGGGGUUCUGAGAGGAAGGUCCCCCACAUUGGAACUGAGACACGGUCCAAACUCCUACGGGAGGCAGCAGUGAGGAAUAUUGGUCAAUGGGCGAUGGCCUGAACCAGCCAAGUAGCGUGAAGGAUGACUGCCCUAUGGGUUGUAAACUUCUUUUAUAAAGGAAUAAAGUCGGGUAUGCAUACCCGUUUGCAUGUACUUUAUGAAUAAGGAUCGGCUAACUCCGUGCCAGCAGCCGCGGUAAUACGGAGGAUCCGAGCGUUAUCCGGAUUUAUUGGGUUUAAAGGGAGCGUAGAUGGAUGUUUAAGUCAGUUGUGAAAGUUUGCGGCUCAACCGUAAAAUUGCAGUUGAUACUGGAUGUCUUGAGUGCAGUUGAGGCAGGCGGAAUUCGUGGUGUAGCGGUGAAAUGCUUAGAUAUCACGAAGAACUCCGAUUGCGAAGGCAG
rnacentral:rRNA from 1 species